CGCGGAUCCGGCACCGCCGCCUCGCCGCCGCCAUCCUCUCCGCCUCUACCGUGUGCCGCACGGCCCCUCGGCCUUGAAAGCUCGAACCUUGGAGGAGCCAGGAGGCUGUAACUAUCUCCGCUACCCUUUGUCGCCGCCGCCAUCCUCACGGCAGGAUGGGGAAGCGCAAGUCCAUGCCUUCCGCCACCGUUCGAGGAGCCAAGAGCCGGCCAAAGAGGCCAAGGUCCGCGAAGCAGGGAGACGAGUUACAGGAGGAGAAUCCCCAACUGCCGGAGCACGACGACGGUCUGCUCUUCUCGCAUUGGAUUCUUUUCCUUUGCUUCCUGCAACAGAGUAGUGCUUGCGCUCGUUCCUACUGAAAAUUUUCUUCUUUUUUGAAAUUUUUCUGAAAUAGAGAUAGCAUGUGGAAUUGUAUUGAAUGUAUAAAUCUUGUAAUUGAUUCUUUGAAUGAUUUGUGAGAUUUAUGAAAUUUGUAUCUGUUGAUUUAAUAUUUUGUGGUUGA